rnacentral:rRNA from 1 species
UACGUAGGGUGCAAGCGUUAAUCGGAAUUACUGGGCGUAAAGCGUGCGCAGGCGGCCUUGUAAGCCAGAUGUGAAAUCCCCGGGCUUAACCUGGGAACUGCAUUUGUGACUGCAUGGCUGGAGUGCGGCAGAGGGAGAUGGAAUUCCGCGUGUAGCAGUGAAAUGCGUAGAGAUCAGGAGGAACACCCGUAGCGAAGGCGGCACUCUGGGCCGAUACUGACACUGAGGAGCGAAAGCGUGGGGAGCAAACAGG